CACAGGGAUGAGGCUGGAUAGGGCACGGGGAUGAGGCUGGAUAGGGCACAGGGUUUAUGAUGAGGCUGGAUAGGGCACAGGGAUGAGGCUGGAUAGAGUACAGGGAUGAGGCUGGAUAGGGCACAGGGAUGAGGCUGGAUAGGGCACAGGGAUGAGGCUGGAUAGAGUACAGGGAUGAGGCUGGAUAGGGCACAGAGAUGAGGCUGGAUAGAGUACAGGGAAGAGGCUGGAUAGAGUACAGGGAUGAGGCUGGAUAGAGUACAGGGAUGAGGCUGGAUAGAGUACAGGGAUGAGGCUGGAUAGAGUACAGGGAUGAGGCUGGAUAGGGUACAGGGAUGAGGCUGGAUAGAGAACAGGGAUGAGGCUGGAUAGAGCACAGGGAUGAGGCUGGAUAGAGCACAGGGAUGAGGCUGGAUAGAGCACAGGGAUGAGGCUGGAUAGAGUACAGGGAUGAGGCUGGAUAGAGUACAGGGAUGAGGCUGGAUAGGGCACAGG
ensembl:lncRNA